GUGAAUCAUCGAAUUUUUGAACGCAUAUUGCACUCUCUGGUAUUCUGGAGAGUAUGCCUGUUUGAGGGUAAUUAAAAAGAAUCUGUACCAAUUUUUGUUGGUCAAAGGAAAUGAGUUCUUCGCGUUUAUAGCGGUAGCUUGAAAUAAAUGGUCAAGUCUCAUGUUAGUCGAGACGCGGAAUAUUAUUAUUUUGCGAGAUCUG
rnacentral:misc_RNA from 1 species